rnacentral:rRNA from 1 species
CACGUAGGGCGCAAGCGUUGUCCGGAAUUAUUGGGCGUAAAGAGCUCGUAGGCGGUCUGUUGCGUCUGCUGUGAAAACUCGGGGCUUAACCCCGAGCCUGCAGUGGAUACGGGCAGACUAGAGGUAGGUAGGGGAGAAUGGAAUUCCCGGUGUAGCGGUGAAAUGCGCAGAUAUCGGGAGGAAUACCAGUGGCGAAGGCGGCUUACUGGCUCAUUCCUGACGCUGAGGAGCGAAAGCGUGGGGAGCAAACGGG